AGUUUUUAUUAAUUUUUGUCGAGAUUGGGGUAAGCUGACCCUGCCAAGCCCACGGCGGAUAAGUCAUAAUACUUUUACGUCAUUGCGGACGGGCUGAGUUUUACGUCGUCCCAAGACCCGUCACGAUAAUAAAAAAACUUUUACGUCAUUGCGGACGGGCUGAGUUUUACGUCGUCCCAAGACCCGUCACGAUAAUAAAAAAACGUGAGUUUUACUUCAUCACGAGGAAGGG